CUGGUCUAAUUAAGGAGGAGAAAAGCAAGUAAAACUUAAUGGGCAGCUUGAAAUGUGUGACUUCUGACCUAGAGAUUUCCUUUGGCCUCAGGCACAUCUGCUUCUACUUGUGAUUUGGGAAGUCUACAUGAGAAGCACUAACAAUGGGGAAAGAAAAGUAUGCCUGAGACUUGUGGUUAUUUUCCUAAAGAAUUAGAGAAGUUGGUUCAUCCUAAAACACACCAGAAUCCAUCAGUCAUAUAAGACUGCUUGUUCCAUACUUUACCUUCCUUUUUCUAAUCUGAACAAAGCAGCAGACACCAAGAAGAAGAAAAGCAUGAUUAACAAGCAAA